rnacentral:rRNA from 1 species
CGGGAGACACACGGCGGGUGCUAACGUCCGUCGUGAAGAGGGAAACAACCCAGACCGCCAGCUAAGGUCCCAAAGUCAUGGUUAAGUGGGAAACGAUGUGGGAAGGCCCAGACAGCCAGGAUGUUGGCUUAGAAGCAGCCAUCAUUUAAAGAAAGCGUAAUAGCUCACUGGUCGAGUCGGCCUGCGCGGAAGAUGUAACGGGGCUAAACCAUGCACCGAAGCUGCGGCAGCGACGCUGAUGCGUUGUUGGGUAGGGGAGCGUUCUGUAAGCCUGCGAAGGUGACCUGUGAGGGUUGCUGGAGGUAUCAGAAGUGCGAAUGCUGACAUAAGUAACGAUAAAGCGGGUGAAAAGCCCGCUCGCCGGAAGACCAAGGGUUCCUGUCCAACGUUAAUCGGGGCAGGGUGAGUCGACCCCUAAGGCGAGGCCGAAAGGCGUAGUCGAUGGGAAACGGGUUAAUAUUCCCGUACUUGGUGUUACUGCGAAGGGGGGACGGAGAAGGCUAUGUUGGCCGGGCGACGGUUGUCCCGGUUUAAGCGUGUAGGUGUGUGUUCCAGGUAAAUCCGGUUCACUUUAACACUGAGGCGUGACGACGAGGCACUACGGUGCUGAAGCAACAAAUGCCCUGCUUCCAGGAAAAGCCUCUAAGCAUCAGGUAACAUCAAAUCGUACCCCAAACCGACACAGGUGGUCAGGUAGAGAAUACCAAGGCGCUUGAGAGAACUCGGGUGAAGGAACUAGGCAAAAUGGUGCCGUAACUUCGGGAGAAGGCACGCUGACACGUAGGUGAAGUGAUUUACUCAUGGAGCUGAAGUCAGUCGAAGAUACCAGCUGGCUGCAACUGUUUAUUAAAAACACAGCACUGUGCAAACACGAAAGUGGACGUAUACGGUGUGACGCCUGCCCGGUGCCGGAAGGUUAAUUGAUGGGGUCAGCGUAAGCGAAGCUCCUGAUCGAAGCCCCGGUAAACGGCGGCCGUAACUAUAACGGUCCUAAGGUAGCGAAAUUCCUUGUCGGGUAAGUUCCGACCUGCACGAAUGGCGUAAUGAUGGCCAGGCUGUCUCCACCCGAGACUCAGUGAAAUUGAACUCGCUGUGAAGAUGCAGUGUACCCGCGGCAAGACGGAAAGACCCCGUGAACCUUUACUAUAGCUUGACACUGAACAUUGAGCCUUGAUGUGUAGGAU